rnacentral:rRNA from 2 species
UGAGGUAAGAGCAUUUGGUGGAUGCCUUGGCAUGUGCAGGCGAUGAAGGACGUGGCACGCUGCGAUAAGCGUCGGGGAGAUGUGAGCAAUCUUUGAUCCGGCGAUUUCCGAAUGGGGAAACCCACCCUCACCAUUUCCUUUCGAUUGUUUUCGGACAGUCGGAAAGAGGUGGAUAGGGUAUCACCAGACUGAAUACAUAGGUUUGGUGAAGCGAACCCGGGGAACUGAAACAUCUCAGUACCCGGAGGAAAAGACAUCAACAGAGAUUCCCGUAGUAGUGGCGAGCGAACCGGGACCAGGCCAGUGCCUUCAUUUCAACUAGCAAAACACUUUGGAAAGAGUGGCCAUAGCGGGUGACAGCCCCGUAUGCGAAAGUGAUGAUGAAGGACUCGAGUAGGGCGGGACACGUGAAAUCCUGUCUGAACAUGGGGGGACCACCCUCCAAGCCUAAAUACUCGCACAUGACCGAUAGCGAACACAGUACCGUGAGGGAAAGGUGAAAAGCACCCCGAUUAGGGGAGUGAAACAGUACCUGAAACCGGAUGCUUACAAGCAGUUGGAGCCCCAUAGGGGGUGACAGCGUACCUCUUGCAUAAUGGGUCAGUGACUUAAUCUACCAUGCAAGCUUAAGCCGUUAGGUGUAGGCGCAGCGAAAGCGAGUCUGAAUAGGGCGACUGAGUAUGAUGGAUUAGACCCGAACCCCGGCGAUCUAGGCAUGGCCAGGUUGAAGGUGCAGUAACAUGCACUGGAGGACCGAACCGGUGAAUGUUGAAAAAUUCUCGGAUGAGCUGUGUUUAGGGGUGAAAGGCCAAUCAAGCCGGGAAAUAGCUGGUUCUCCGCGAAAUCUAUUGAGGUAGAGCGUCGGAUGUAUGCCGAUGGGGGUAGAGCACUGGAUGGGCUAGGGCUGCGCGAGCGGUACCAAACCUAACCAAACUCCGAAUACCAUCGAGUCUUAUCCGGCAGACAGACGGCGGGUGCUAAGGUCCGUCGUCAAAAGGGAAACAGCCCUAACCUACAGCUAAGGUCCCCAAGUCAUAUCUAAGUGGGAAAGCAUGUGGGAAUCCCAAAACAACCAGGAGGUUGGCUUAGAAGCAGCCAUCCUUUAAAGAAAGCGUAACAGCUCACUGGUCUAAACAAGGGUUCCUGCGGCGAAGAUGUAACGGGGCUAAAGAUAUGCACCGAAGCUUAGGGUUCAGAAUUUAUUCUGAGCGGUAGCGGAGCGUUCCGUAAGCGAGUGAAGGCGAAGGGUAACCGACGCUGGACGUAUCGGAAGUGCGAAUGCUGACAUGAGUAGCGACAAACAGGGUGAGAUGCCCUGUCGCCGAAAGACCAAGGGUUCCUGCGCAACGCUAAUCGGCGCAGGGUUAGCCGGCCCCUAAGACGAGCCCGAAGGGGGUAGUCGAUGGGAACCACGUAAAUAUUCGUGGGCCUGAAGAUGUGUGACGGAUCGUGGAAGUUGUUUUCUCUUAUUGGAUUGAGAGGGCAGCCAAGCGGUUCCAGGAAAUAGCCUCUUCACUAUAGACCGUACCCGAAACCGACACAGGUGGUCAGGUAGAGUAUACCAAGGCGCUUGAGAGAAGUAUCCUGAAGGAACUCGGCAAAUUGCCUCCGUACCUUCGGAAGAAGGAGGCCCCAUAUCGACGCAAGUCUUUGUGGGGGGCACAGGCCAGGGGGUAGCGACUGUUUAGCAAAAACACAGCACUCUGCUAAGUCGGCUUCAAGACGACGUAUAGGGUGUGACGCCUGCCCGGUGCUCGAAGGUUAAGAGGAGGAGUGCAAGCUCCGAAUUGAAGCCCGAGUAAACGGCGGCCGUAACUAUAACGGUCCUAAGGUAGCGAAAUUCCUUGUCGGGUAAGUUCCGACCUGCACGAAUGGCGUAACGACUUCCCCACUGUCUCCAGGAUAUGCUCAGCGAAAUUGAAUUCUCCGUGAAGAUGCGGAGUACCCGCGGUUAGACGGAAAGACCCCGUGCACCUUUACUGCAGCUUCAGAGUGGCAUUAGGAAAUUACUGUGUAGAAUAGGUGGGAGGCUUUGAAACAUCGGCGCCAGCUGGUGUGGAGCCAACCUGUGAAAUACCACCCUGUGAUUUUCUGAUGUCUAACCACGCACCGUUAUCCGGUGUUGGGACCCUCUGUGGCGGGUAGUUUGACUGGGGCGGUCGCCUCCUAAAGAGUAACGGAGGCGCGCGAUGGUAUGCUCAGGACGGUUGGAAACCGUCUGCAAGAGUGCAAUGGCAUAAGCAUGCCUGACUGCGAGACCGACAGGUCGAGCAGAGACGAAAGUCGGUCAUAGUGAUCCGGUGGUCCCUCGUGGAAGGGCCAUCGCUCAACGGAUAAAAGGUACGCCGGGGAUAACAGGCUGAUGAUUCCCAAGAGCUCAUAUCGACGGAAUCGUUUGGCACCUCGAUGUCGGCUCAUCACAUCCUGGGGCUGGAGCAGGUCCCAAGGGUUUGGCUGUUCGCCAAUUAAAGUGGUACGUGAGCUGGGUUCAGAACGUCGCGAGACAGUUUGGUCCCUAUCUGCCGUGGGCGUCGAUUGUUGAAAGGAGUUGCCCCUAGUACGAGAGGACCGGGGUGAACAUACCUCUGGUGUACCUGUCAUCCUGCCAAGGGUGCCGCAGGGUAGCUAUGUAUGGACGGGAUAACCGCUGAAAGCAUCUAAGCGGGAAGCCUCCCUUGAGAUAAGCAAUCUUCGAACCGUCAUAGACCAUGACGUUGAUAGGCCGGGUGUGGAAGCGCAGUAAUGCGUGUAGCUAACCGGUCCUAAUAGUUCUUUUCGCGCUUGUA